UUAGAGUUUGAUCUGGCUCAGGACGAACGCUGGCGGCGUGCCUAAUACAUGCAAGUCGAACGAACUCUGGUAUUGAUUGGUGCUUGCAUCAUGAUUUACAUUUGAGUGAGUGGCGAACUGGUGAGUAACACGUGGGAAACCUGCCCAGAAGCGGGGGAUAACACCUGGAAACAGAUGCUAAUACCGCAUAACAACUUGGACCGCAUGGUCCGAGUUUGAAAGAUGGCUUCGGCUAUCACUUUUGGAUGGUCCCGCGGCGUAUUAGCUAGAUGGUGGGGUAACGGCUCACCAUGGCAAUGAUACGUAGCCGACCUGAGAGGGUAAUCGGCCACAUUGGGACUGAGACACGGCCCAAACUCCUACGGGAGGCAGCAGUAGGGAAUCUUCCACAAUGGACGAAAGUCUGAUGGAGCAACGCCGCGUGAGUGAAGAAGGGUUUCGGCUCGUAAAACUCUGUUGUUAAAGAAGAACAUAUCUGAGAGUAACUGUUCAGGUAUUGACGGUAUUUAACCAGAAAGCCACGGCUAACUACGUGCCAGCAGCCGCGGUAAUACGUAGGUGGCAAGCGUUGUCCGGAUUUAUUGGGCGUAAAGCGAGCGCAGGCGGUUUUUUAAGUCUGAUGUGAAAGCCUUCGGCUCAACCGAAGAAGUGCAUCGGAAACUGGGAAACUUGAGUGCAGAAGAGGACAGUGGAACUCCAUGUGUAGCGGUGAAAUGCGUAGAUAUAUGGAAGAACACCAGUGGCGAAGGCGGCUGUCUGGUCUGUAACUGACGCUGAGGCUCGAAAGUAUGGGUAGCAAACAGGAUUAGAUACCCUGGUAGUCCAUACCGUAAACGAUGAAUGCUAAGUGUUGGAGGGUUUCCGCCCUUCAGUGCUGCAGCUAACGCAUUAAGCAUUCCGCCUGGGGAGUACGGCCGCAAGGCUGAAACUCAAAGGAAUUGACGGGGGCCCGCACAAGCGGUGGAGCAUGUGGUUUAAUUCGAAGCUACGCGAAGAACCUUACCAGGUCUUGACAUACUAUGCAAAUCUAAGAGAUUAGACGUUCCCUUCGGGGACAUGGAUACAGGUGGUGCAUGGUUGUCGUCAGCUCGUGUCGUGAGAUGUUGGGUUAAGUCCCGCAACGAGCGCAACCCUUAUUAUCAGUUGCCAGCAUUAAGUUGGGCACUCUGGUGAGACUGCCGGUGACAAACCGGAGGAAGGUGGGGAUGACGUCAAAUCAUCAUGCCCCUUAUGACCUGGGCUACACACGUGCUACAAUGGAUGGUACAACGAGUUGCGAACUCGCGAGAGUAAGCUAAUCUCUUAAAGCCAUUCUCAGUUCGGAUUGUAGGCUGCAACUCGCCUACAUGAAGUCGGAAUCGCUAGUAAUCGCGGAUCAGCAUGCCGCGGUGAAUACGUUCCCGGGCCUUGUACACACCGCCCGUCACACCAUGAGAGUUUGUAACACCCAAAGUCGGUGGGGUAACCUUUUAGGAACCAGCCGCCUAAAGGUGGGACAGAUGAUUAGGGUGAAGUCGUAACAAGGUAGCCGUAGGAGAACCUGCGGCUGGAUCACCUCCUU
rnacentral:rRNA from 1 species